rnacentral:rRNA from 1 species
AUUGAACGCUGGCGGCAUGCCUUACACAUGCUAGUCGAACGGCAGCACGGGAGCAAUCCUGGUGGCGAGUGGCGAACGGGUGAGUAAAGUAUCGGAACGUGCCCAGUCGUGGGGGAUAACGUAGCGAAAGUUACGCUAAUACCGCAUACGAUCUAUGGAUGAAAGCGGGGGAUCGCAAGACCUCGCGCGAUUGGAGCGGCAGAUAUCAGAUUAGGUAGUUGGUGGGGUAAAGGCUCACCAAGCCGACGAUCUGUAGCUGGUCUGAGAGGACGACAAGCCACACUGGGACUGAGCCACGGCCCAGACUCCUACGGGAGGCAGCAGUGGGGAAUUUUGGACAAUGGGCGAAAGCCUGAUCCAGCCAUGCCGCGUGCAGGAUGAAGGCCUUCGGGUUGUAAACUGCUUUUGUACGGAACGAAAAGGUUUGGCCUAAUAAGCUGAGCUCAUGACGGUACCGUAAGAAUAAGCACCGGCUAACUACGUGCCAGCCGCCGCCGUAA